UAGGGAAUCUUCGGCAAUGGACGAAAGUCUGACCGAGCAACGCCGCGUGAGUGAAGAAGGUUUUCGGAUCGUAAAACUCUGUUGUUAGAGAAGAACAAGGACGUUAGUAACUGAACGUCCCCUGACGGUAUCUAACCAGAAAGCCACGGCUAACUACGUGCCAGCAGCCGCGGUAAUACGUAGGUGGCAAGCGUUGUCCGGAUUUAUUGGGCGUAAAGCGAGCGCAGGCGGUUUCUUAAGUCUGAUGUGAAAGCCCCCGGCUCAACCGGGGAGGGUCAUUGGAAACUGGGAGCCUUGAGUGCAGAAGAGGAGAGUGGAAUUCCAUGUGUGGCGGUGAAAUGCGUAGAUAUAUGGAGGAACACCAGUGGCGAAGGCGGCUCUCUGGUCUGUAACUGACGCUGAGGCUCGAAAGCGUGGGGAGCAAACAGG
rnacentral:rRNA from 1 species